rnacentral:rRNA from 1 species
CAGUAGCCGCGGUAAUACGAAGGGUGCAAGCGUUAAUCGGAAUUACUGGGCGUAAAGCGUGCGUAGGCGGUUUCUUAAGUCUGCUGUGAAAUCCCCGGGCUCAACCUGGGAAUGGCAGUGGAUACUGGGAAGCUAGAGUGUGUCAGAGGAUGGUGGAAUUCCCGGUGUAGCGGUGAAAUGCGUAGAGAUCGGGAGGAACAUCAGUGGCGAAGGCGGCCACCUGGGACAACACUGACGCUGAGGCACGAAAGCGUGGGGAGCAAACAGGAUUAGAUACCCGGGUAGUCCCUGUCUCUUAUAC